rnacentral:rRNA from 1 species
CGAAACCGGGUGACCUAUCCAUGAGCAGGCUGAAGCGGUGGUAAGACACCGUGGAGGGCCGCACCCACGUCUGUUGAAAAAGCCGGGGAUGACUUGUGGAUAGCGGAGAAAUUCCAAUCGAACUCGGAGAUAGCUGGUUCUCCCCGAAAUAGCUUUAGGGCUAGCGUUAUUUUAGAUUACCGGAGGUAAAGCACUGAAUGGUCUAGGGGCCGCGAGGUUACCAAAGCCUAUCAAACUCUGAAUGCCGGAUAAUUGAUGAAUAGCAGUCAGACUGUGUGAGAUAAGUCUCAUAGUCAAAAGGGAAACAGCCCAGAUCUACAGCUAAGGUCCCAAAUGAACACUAAGUGGAAAAUGAUGUGAAACUGCGAAGACAACCAGGAUGUUGGCUUAGAAGCAGCCACUCAUUCAAAGAGUGCGUAAUAGCUCACUGGUCGAGUGGUUUUGCGCAGAAAAUGUAACGGGGCUAAGUGUUCAACCGAAGCUUAGGCAUUGCAGUAAUGCAUUGGGUAGGGGAGCGUCGUAUGCGGGGCGAAGUCAGAGCGGAAGCACUGGUGGACUGCAUACGAGUGAGAAUGCCGGAAUAAGUAGCGAGAAUUAUGUGAGAAUCAUAAUGGCCGAAAAUCUAAGGUUUCUUGGGGAAGGUUCGUCCGCCCAAGGUUAGUCGGGAGCUAAGCUCAGGCCGAAAGGCGUAGGCGAUGCACAUACGGUAGAAAUUCCGUAACCACCGAACAUUUAAGCUAGAGGGACGCUUUCAUUAAGUCUAUCCCGGGCGAUGGUUGCCCCGGGCGUAAGGGACCGAAAUUUAGUAGGGAAGUAGACGGCGUGAGAGACGAGAAAAGCUCUAGUGUAUACUAAGGUGCCCGUACCGCAAACCGACACAGGUAGAUGAGGAGAGUAUUCUAAGGCCAACGGGAGAAGGGUUGUUAAGGAACUCGGCAAAUUGGCCCCGUAACUUCGGGAGAAGGGGCGCCUGCGAGAGCAGGCCGCAGUGAAAAGGCCCAAGCGACUGUUUAGCAAAAACACAGCUCUCUGCUAAAUCGAAAGAUGACGUAUAGGGGGUGACGCCUGCCCGGUGCUGGAAGGUUAAGGGGAGUGCUUAGCGCAAGCGAAGGUGCGAACUUAAGCCCCAGUAAACGGCGGCCGUAACUAUAACGGUCCUAAGGUAGCGAAAUUCCUUGUCGGGUAAGUUC